AGAGUUUGAUCCUGGCUCAGGACGAACGCUGGCGGCGUGCCUAAUACAUGCAAGUCGUACGCUUCAUUUUCCACCGGAGCUUGCUCCACCGGAAAAAGAAGAGUGGCGAACGGGUGAGUAACACGUGGGUAACCUGCCCAUCAGAAGGGGAUAACACUUGGAAACAGGUGCUAAUACCGUAUAACAAUCGAAACCGCAUGGUUUUGAUUUGAAAGGCGCUUUCGGGUGUCGCUGAUGGAUGGACCCGCGGUGCAUUAGCUAGUUGGUGAGGUAACGGCUCACCAAGGCCACGAUGCAUAGCCGACCUGAGAGGGUGAUCGGCCACAUUGGGACUGAGACACGGCCCAAACUCCUACGGGAGGCAGCAGUAGGGAAUCUUCGGCAAUGGACGAAAGUCUGACCGAGCAACGCCGCGUGAGUGAAGAAGGUUUUCGGAUCGUAAAACUCUGUUGUUAGAGAAGAACAAGGAUGAGAGUAACUGUUCAUCCCUUGACGGUAUCUAACCAGAAAGCCACGGCUAACUACGUGCCAGCAGCCGCGGUAAUACGUAGGUGGCAAGCGUUGUCCGGAUUUAUUGGGCGUAAAGCGAGCGCAGGCGGUUUCUUAAGUCUGAUGUGAAAGCCCCCGGCUCAACCGGGGAGGGUCAUUGGAAACUGGGAGACUUGAGUGCAGAAGAGGAGAGUGGAAUUCCAUGUGUAGCGGUGAAAUGCGUAGAUAUAUGGAGGAACACCAGUGGCGAAGGCGGCUCUCUGGUCUGUAACUGACGCUGAGGCUCGAAAGCGUGGGGAGCAAACAGGAUUAGAUACCCUGGUAGUCCACGCCGUAAACGAUGAGUGCUAAGUGUUGGAGGGUUUCCGCCCUUCAGUGCUGCAGCUAACGCAUUAAGCACUCCGCCUGGGGAGUACGACCGCAAGGUUGAAACUCAAAGGAAUUGACGGGGGCCCGCACAAGCGGUGGAGCAUGUGGUUUAAUUCGAAGCAACGCGAAGAACCUUACCAGGUCUUGACAUCCUUUGACCACUCUAGAGAUAGAGCUUCCCCUUCGGGGGCAAAGUGACAGGUGGUGCAUGGUUGUCGUCAGCUCGUGUCGUGAGAUGUUGGGUUAAGUCCCGCAACGAGCGCAACCCUUAUUGUUAGUUGCCAUCAUUCAGUUGGGCACUCUAGCAAGACUGCCGGUGACAAACCGGAGGAAGGUGGGGAUGACGUCAAAUCAUCAUGCCCCUUAUGACCUGGGCUACACACGUGCUACAAUGGGAAGUACAACGAGUCGCGAAGUCGCGAGGCUAAGCUAAUCUCUUAAAGCUUCUCUCAGUUCGGAUUGUAGGCUGCAACUCGCCUACAUGAAGCCGGAAUCGCUAGUAAUCGCGGAUCAGCACGCCGCGGUGAAUACGUUCCCGGGCCUUGUACACACCGCCCGUCACACCACGAGAGUUUGUAACACCCGAAGUCGGUGAGGUAACCUUUUGGAGCCAGCCGCCUAAGGUGGGAUAGAUGAUUGGGGUGAAGUCGUAACAAGGUAGCCGUAUCGGAAGGUGCGGCUGGAUCACCU
rnacentral:rRNA from 1 species